UCUCUCGCUGCGAAAAUAGUCCAAGAAACUAGACGAAACAAUUAAAAAACAACUAUAUGUUUUGUCAAAAUGGAAACUGAAAUUCAUAAGAAUUUAAAAGGUAUAUAUGAAAAUUUGAAAAUAUGAAACAGUCAUAUCUUCGAAUUAAAAUAGUUUAGGAAGCCUUCUGCUAUAUCCUUCCUCACUAUUUGGAAGAAAAAAGUCUCUUAUUUCUUUUUCGAAGGUGACUUCCAAACAGAAGAGAAUGUCAGCAUUAUCAGGCGUAUAUAGAGGCAUUUUUCGCCGAACAUCAACAUUUGCUUUAGCGUUUUGCACUGGUGGAUUAAUAUAUGCAAUGUAUUUGGACAAGGCUCUUGACAGCGUGUUUAGAAACAUGAAUAAAGGGAAAUUGUACGAGGAUGUCCAAGCUUAUUACAGUCAAAAGAGUGAAGAAUGAUUUAUAGAUAGAAAUAGAAACAAAAAAUGACUGCUGUGCUUAGCAUCAACUUAUUAAUGGUGUACCCAUAUGAAGAAUAGGAUCAGAAAUAAACUCAGAAAGAUCUGUGCUAAUUUUGACAGUCAAUUCAAAUUGUAUUUUGGUGUUUAGCAUAACAGUCUUUCAUAAAAUCUGAAUCAUCAUUUUAACUUAUGAAGUCACAUUGUUUUAUUUGGUAAUAUAAUUUAUAAAAGAGAUAUUGUAUGA